rnacentral:pre_miRNA from 14 species
UUCAGGGGGAAAAAAGGGCAUCUAACAACUUCCCCCAAAUGGUGCUGAAAGACCCCCGAAGGGAGCCCCCCACUCAAGUCUCGGGAAAGACGCGCACCCAGUAGGACACAGACACCG